UCGCAUAUACAUCAGCAACCAGAAACUCAAAACCCUAGGUAAACUCUCAUUUCUUGACCUACACUCAACAGGGGAGUGAAAACCAAGAUUAUAUGGAAAUGAGAAAAUUUGGAAUUGAAGAUGCUACGAAACUUAUCUCGAUAAGUGAUCUCAAUUCUUUGCUCAACAAAUCAGUCGAAGACAUGCUCACUGAACUCACUCUUAGAAGCUUGAAAGCUAAAGCAAGAAAAUUU
rnacentral:lncRNA from 1 species